AUGAACAAAGCAAUUGGAAUUUUGGAAAUGACAAUGGGUAUAUUUAUUACAUUAACUAAAGCUUAUUUAUUUCUCUUUGUUUCUAUCACAAUAAGAUGGACUUUGCCGAGGAUGAGAACGGAAACCACAGUUGCGCAGAAACAUUGA
rnacentral:rRNA from 1 species